rnacentral:tRNA from 2 species
GAGGUGUUAAUUAAAACAUACUUCCCCCUUGUCAAGGGGGCAUUAUGGGUUAAACCCCCAUACCCCUCU